AAAUGCAUAGUAAUACGCGAACGCUCACCUAUUUGUAAAUUACGACGCGUCUCCGCUCAGUUGUAAAUAAGUUGUGGUGGCAAGUAGUAAGAUCUUAGGAAAUACAACAAAAUGUGUAACUGUGUCUGUAAUCUUCUUUGCAAAAUAGUGAGCGCUAUUAUUUCUUUGUUAUUCAUCGUGGCCAUAAUAUUACUUAUAUUAUGGGCUGUCGGAGUUAUCUUCACAUAACGAGACUCAAUUGUAGUCUCAAAAAUGAGGAGAAUGGUGAGACUGAAGACAAAAAACGCAUAAUAUGUAUAUAGUCGAAUUAUUUUUAUAAUAACAAUGAAUAUAUGAGAAUCCAAAGAGAACUGCGUAUUAGAAUAUAAUAGCUGAUAAUUCUUUUAGAUAUAUUCUGUUUGUAAAGUCAUAGUGAAAACAAAAUUAAAUAUCCUUUUUAUAAAAACAGCCAACUAGACAAUAGACAAAUGAUUCAAGCUUCAAAUUAAUUUUUAAUUAUGCAAAUUAACUUUUAAUUGAUGUUUAAUAACCUCAAAACAUUAACAUCAAUAUCUUGUGUGUUCUUCCUUCAACUAUUAUAGAAGUGUAACAGUAGGUAAAUAAUAUGACCGAAUGAAUAUGUAUGUUAUAUGACUAUAAAAAAUGUGAGGAAAACAGGAAUAGUUAUAGUUAUUACAAAUUGAAAUUCCGGUACUUAAUCAAUGGCGGGAAAAACGAAAGCAAAUAAAAAGUUUGGUCAUAUACCUUUUUACAUUACAUUUUUUUUUUCUUAUACUGUCCUUAUCUUGCUUUUGUUAGAAAAUGUAUUCCCAUGUUAUACAUUCACACCUAACAAGUUUUCCUUUAUUGUUUUGUCAAUUGUUAUGUUUUGGUAUAAAUAACAAUUGUAACAUAAUAACAAGGCCCUUUUCUUUACCCGGCUUUCUUCGGUUUUGUUAACGUUAUAACUUUUCUAUUAGAUGUCUUUUAUUUCUUCACCUUUAUUUUAUAUAUAAUUAUUUUUAGACAUUGUAUUUUAAUUGUAAAAAGUGAAUGUAUCAGAUUGACUGUGCUGUACCCAAGUUAAAUUAUAUAAUUUGUUAAUAAAAA